rnacentral:rRNA from 1 species
GACAGAGGUCCCGAGCGUUAGGCGGAAUCACUGGGCUUAAAGCGUGUGUAGGCGGAUGCCUAAGUACCUUGUGGAAUCCCACGGCUCACCCGUGGAACUGCUUGGUAUACUGGGUGUCUUGAGCCACUUAGGGGCUACCGGAACAAAUGGUGGAGCGGUGAAAUGCGUAGAUAUGCGGAGGAACACCGAUGGCGAAGGCAAUCCCCUGGGCCUGCACUGACGCUCAUGCACGAAAGCGUGGGGAGCAAACAGG